rnacentral:lncRNA from 1 species
CCUAGAGGAGGGUGAAUAGGUGUAACGACCAAAAACCUCAAAUCUCAAUGCGAUAAAAGUAAAUGCGGAAAAUAAAAAUCACACCGAGAUUUACGUGAAAAAACUCCAACUUGGAGUAAAAAAUUCACGGGACCAACACGCGAAAAAAUAAUUCACUAAGAGGAAAGAUUACAAGGUGAUUACCGACUCCACGGACUCGACCUCUCUUAACCUCCUAUGAAUCUAGCGCAAUCCUCCGGGUUGUCCACGCCCUCACGUUCGAAUCCACGAAUGCCUCGCUCACGUCUGAAUCCACGAACGCCACUCGAAUCCACGAGCACACGAUUCGAAUCCACAAAACGCCUUCGAUCACGCCGACUCCACGACGCCGUCCAUGAAGAAUAUCAU